rnacentral:pre_miRNA from 1 species
UGUGUACUCCCUCCAUUCCAAAAUACUUGACUUCCAUUUGUCCAAAAAUGGAUGUGCCUAUAUACUAAAACAUGUCUAGAUACAUAUAUAUUUUGACAAAUAGAAGGCAUGUAUUGUGCAAUGGAGGGAGUAGAAU